GCGGAAACCACGCGACAUCCAAGAGAGAGAGCGUCCAAAGCGCGGGAACCGCGCGACGUGCGAGGGAGAGCGUCCAAUCCCUGUGCGCCGCACGCACUACACCCCAUUCGUCACCACCCCACCAAAUGCCACAGUGGCUCCUCCACAGCCGCCCGCAACCCUUUCCCCUUUUCCCCAGCUCCUCCUCCAUCCUCUUGUGCCCCCCUCCCACAUCUCAUCCACCCCCUCAUCUCUGACCGGGUCCGUGACAUGCGGGACGGAGGCGAGCUUCUCCAGCGUCGGCGACCUGCAGGCGAAGGGCGAGGGCGUCGGCGCUUGAUUUGAGGCAGCAUCAUGGAUCGGUCCCUGCUAAGCCACGAGAUUGCUGGACUGCCACCAUCCCUCCUGCACUGUGCGUUGCCUCCUGCGAGUGUCACCUUGCCCCACUAGCUUCCAGCGCCAUGGAUCCUCCAGAGAUGGAGGGCAACAAGUGAGAGGGAGUAGGAGAACAGGUGAAUCGAGGGAGUGAAAGAAGGAGCUCACACGGGAAGGGGAAGAGGGAGUCUGGCGGCGUAUCCUCAUCUCAUCCCUGGCUGUAGAUCUUUUGACGCCAUGGCACCAGUGGUAGCUCCUCGAUGGAGCGCCUCCUCCCAUGACGGCACGACCAGCCGCUCUGGCUCGACGCCACGAUACACAACGAGGUAGGCUCCACUGCCUUUCUCCUCUCUCCCAUGUGAUUUGUUCUCUGUUGAUUUCCCCUCUUGCCUAUUCUAAUUCGCGGUCAAAACAAUGGCGGAUUUCUUCAUUGUUGAUCUGAUUUGGGGCAGAUUUUCCUCUAGAUUCCUUCCUUUUACAGUUCCUUUUUGACUUGUUGUUCAUCACGUCGAUGGCUUCCACCGAGCAGAGGCCCUCUUCAUCUCGGCAGAGGAGAAGAACGGCCAGGAGCUGGCGGCCUGCUACCCUAUGCCAAUGGAUGCGCCUCCCAGAUGGCUAGCAAUGCCAGAUCGAAAGGGCUCUAUGGUAGGUUUGGUUUAUUCACCACCCCAUGAAGUAUUGUUCUUUCUGUAAUUUAUUUAUGUAGAUUUAACCUCAGACCUCAUAGAGGUAGUCAUCUUGGAUUACUUUGAAGUAUUGUUAUUGGUCACAUGUUUAUUAGGUUUAAAUGCCACUAUUCUGCAUGGGUUGUUACUAACACAAAUUGUGUUGUGAUUAGGCACCAAUCCUAUUAUUGAAGCCACUGGAUAGUUGCCGUUAGCUGUAAUGUGAUUAGCUACCAAUCCUAUUAUUGAAGCUAUUAUGGUAUAUGUUGCUGCUACAUAAAUAUACUUUUAUGUGAUCAUGAAAUUGCAUUCAGUUUUAGUAUUCUCUGGUGCUGGAAGAGCUAACAUGUAUCAAGCUAGGAGUACAAUUCCUUUUUGUAAAUCUGGCUAAUGCUGACAAUGGACAUGCUUUGAUGUUUUUCUUUUCUCAUACCGUUAGGCAGAUUGAGAAGCUGAUCCGAGCGAAGCAAUGAUGUUUGGUGUUCUUCUGCUGGAGCUGAUCACCAGGAGAACAAUCUAUGAUGCUUCGAGGCCUAAACCAGAGCAGAGCUUGCUAACAUGGGUAAUCAGUUCUACAUUGCCAUAAUUCAAUAAGUAGCAAUCUGAGCAAGGCACCAGUGUAGAUUGAGAAAGACACAAUCUAAGAAGUACUCCCUCCGUCCAAAAAUACUUGUCGAAGAAAUGAGUGUACCUAGACGUAUUUUAGUUCUAGAUACACCCAUUUUUGUCCAUUUCUCCGACAAGUGUUUCCGAACGGAGGGAGUAGAACACAAAAUUAGAAAUAAUUUGUGCGCAUCAUGUGUAUGUUUGCUCAUGAGAGGAUAAGAGUAUGUAGAACAGUUUUCUCAACAAUGUGUGCAUCAGUACAAAUUGAAUGAAUGUCCCCUUAGUUUAAAGGAUCCCAUAUAUUUUGGUUUAUACUUCAAGUUCCUCAUGAAACAACUAUGUGUUAAAUUGUUAAAAAAGCAACUAGAGGUUAUCAACAUAGGAUUAUGGCAUUUACUAUCAUUUAUACUUCUACUGAAUUUGAGUGACUGCUCAGGUUUGUAACUUACCCCGGAUGCUACAAGUUCAUAAUAAGAUUUUGAUUCCUGUCUAGAGGUAAUUGUUCUUAGAAAAGUGACAUGGAUAACGAAAGAGAACAUGGUAUGCAUAUUUGAUAGUAGGAGACCUACUCCCUGACAACAUCUCAGUUCAAAAUAUCAAACAGUUAUUAUCUUUGUAGCAUAACAAAUUAUGCAUGCUCAACUAUAUAUUUUGAAACCUUAGUCUUUCUUAAAUUUUCAUAUAAAAAGGGUUACAAUUGGUACCACAACAUGAUACUGAAAACCUUGAUUAGUGUUACAGUUUGUUGCAGUUUUAUUUUUCCUUCAAAUUGUGUUUAUAACAUAUACUCCCUCCGUCUCAUAAUGUAAGACAUUUUUUCACACUAGAGUAGCGUCAAAAAACGUCUUACAUUAUGGGACGGAGGGAGUAUUAUAUUUUCAGCUAUUAGAAUAAAGUGUGCAUAUCUUGGUUUUACUUACCCGCAAAACAUUUUUUAUAAGCUUGCGUGCUAUUAGAGUACAUUGUGUGUAUCUUGGUUUGAGUUACCUACAAAACUAUUUUUUAGAAGCUUGCAGAUUUCUAUUUAGGAAUCAGAUUUCUCUACUGAAUAUGCGAUUUUCACUUCCAAGUGGUAAAUUCUUUGAUCUUUUUGUCAUCUACUUUGACUUGUUAACAUCUACUCCCUCCGUUCCAGAAUAGAUGACUCAACUUUAUACUAACUUUAGUACAAAGUUGGGUCAUCUAUUUUGGAACGGAGAGAGUACAUAUCUAAGGAGCGGGAGGUGAAAGUGCAAAUCGAAAUUUCUAUUUUGGAAUGCAAUGUUCUCUACUAAAUGUGAUUAUCACUUUCGUGUGGUAAUUAAUUUCUGAGCCUGUAAUUUCUUUGAUGCAGAAAACUACUACGGAUGCUGAUCCAUCACAAUAUUGACCAUUAACUUUGUGCUCAUCUCCGAGGUUAUUUUGCGUAUAGCCAUUUGCUUCUCUGGCAUUUCCUUGAAGCUGCCAUUGCAAGAGGAAACAGAAGGAUAUCUUCGUGAUCAGCACAUUGGUGUCUAAGGCUACUUGUUGUGUCACUACGCCCGGCAAGUGCGUGAAUAACAUGGAUAGAUCAAUACAGAUAGGUUAAUUACCGACUAUCAUAGCUAAAAGUUCUAAAAAAUCAUCUGAAGUGAUGUUCUUUUGGUUUUCCGUUCAAAUAUCAUUGAUCCUUGUGCCUGCCGAAUCUCUAAUUUAACACAUGUUGGCAGUCUGACAAAUAGUAAGACACUUCUGGUGGUGCUAAUUAACUCGUCUGAGCCUGAAUGAUAAAGAAAUAUUUUUUUAUCAAUUUACUAACUAGAUUUCUUCAAGUUAACAACUUUAAGUUGUUGAUCGAACUGCACAUUAUAUGAAGAAGAAGAAAAAUGUUUUUUUGUAUCUCGAAUUAUUUUUGGGAUCCACAGAGGGAGAAGUCUAUAACUUGUAUUCAGCGGUGAGCAGCAGAAAAUUGGUCAGGUGGAGGGGAUGGGUUUGGAUGUACCUUUGGUUCUUUUGUCCUAGCACAUCCUGGUGAGAGUGAAAAAGAAGAUUUGUAGCAGAGAAUCUUCUAUUCAUGAGAUUAUGAGAACAACAUGACAUAAGUUUUUUCUUCGAAAAAAAUCCCCCAGCUUCAGCUGCCUGUUUUUUGUUGAUGGCGGCACAUGUCCAGCCUAGCCUUGGUCGGUUUCAGUGUUGCAAACGAGGUGUUGUUCAGUUAACUUGCCGUCAGUUGGGAUUGCUGUGCA
rnacentral:rRNA from 1 species